ACUCCGGUUGAUCCUGCCGGACCCGACCGCUAUCGGGGUAGGGCUAAGCCAUGGGAGUCGAACGCCCCGCCGCUGCGGGGCGUGGCGGACGGCUGAGUAACACGUGGCUAACCUACCCUCGGGACGGGGAUAACCCCUCGGGAAACUGGGGCUAAUCCCCGAUAGGCGGGGGGUGCCUGGAAGGGUCCUCCGCCGAAAGGGGCCGCGGGGGGUUAUCGCCCGCGGUCCGCCCGAGGAUGGGGCUGCGGCCCAUCACGGUAGUUGGCGGGGUAAUGGCCCGCCAAGCCUACGACGGGUAGGGGCCGUGAGAGCGGGAGCCCCCAGAUGGGCACUGAGACAAGGGCCCAGGCCCUACGGGGCGCACCAGGCGCGAAAACUCCGCAAUGCGGGCAACCGUGACGGGGCUACCCCGAGUGCCCCCCUUGGGGGGGCUUUUCCCCGCUGUAAGUAGGCGGGGGAAUAAGCGGGGGGCAAGACUGGUGUCAGCCGCCGCGGUAAUACCAGCCCCGCGAGCGGUCGGGGUGCUUACUGGGCCUAAAGCGCCCGUAGCCGGCUCGACAAGUCCCCGCCUAAAGCCCCGGGCUCAACCCGGGGAGUGGCGGGGAUACUGUCGGGCUAGGGGGCGGGAGAGGCCGAGGGUACUCCCGGGGUAGGGGCGAAAUCCAUUAAUCCCGGGAGGACCACCAGUGGCGAAGGCGCUCGGCUGGAACGCGCCCGACGGUGAGGGGCGAAAGCCGGGGGAGCGAACCGGAUUAGAUACCCGGGUAGUCCCGGCUGUAAACGAUGCGGGCUAGGUGUUGGGCGGGCGUGCGAGCCCGCCCAGUGCCGCAGGGAAGCCGUUAAGCCCGCCGCCUGGGGAGUACGGCCGCAAGGCUGAAAGGUCCGCGGGAGGGGUCUUCUCGUAAUGGCAUGAAUGGUUGUGAUAUAGUAUUACAAACUCUUGAUAGUUUGGGGCUUCAAAUGGAUGGGUAUGCUUUAUUUUACUUGGUUGGUGCUCUCAGGGACGGCUCUGUAUAUAGGUACUCGAGGAAUUACUAUGUGAUAUGGUACUCGUCGAAUAAAGACUAUCUGGAGAGAGUUAUAGUCUCAAAACUCAGAAUUCUAGGUUUCCAUAAUGUAAGAGUUUACCAAUAUAAACGGGGAGCCUAUAGAGUGCGGAUAAGUUCUAAGCAGCUCUUUCACAUACUAGUAAAUCAGUUUGAGCACCCUCUAAGCACAAGCUCCAGGAAAACUCCGUGGCCUACGCCUCAAAGGGUGAAAGAUGGACCUCUAGCACUUCAAAUAGAAUAUGUAAAGGGUUUUGUUGACGCAGAAGGUAGUGUGAUAAAAUCUAGCAAAGGAGUUCAGGUCGAUGUUUCGCAACAAAUUAUGGAGCCGCUAAAAUUUCUGGCUCAGGUGUUAGAGAAAGUCGGAGUUAAAGUAACCGGCAUUUACCUUGGUAGUGAUGGAGUUUGGAGGUUGAGGAUAGCGUCACUCGCCUCCCUGAGACGCUUUGCACAUUACAUAGGGUUUAGACAUCCUUGUAAAAGUAAGAAGUUAAAUGAGCUUCUUGGAAGACCCCUCCCCGGGCCCAGCAAACUUAAAGGAAUUGGCGGGGGAGCACCACAAGGGGUGGAGCCUGCGGCUUAAUUGGAGUCAACGCCGGGAACCUCCACCGGGGGCGACAGCAGGAUGACGGCCAGGCUGAAGGCCUUGCCCGACGCGCUGAGGGGAGAUGCAUGGCCGUCGCCAGCUCGUGCCGUGAGGUGUCCUGUUAAGUCAGGCAACGAGCGAGACCCCCGCCCCUAGUUGCCAUCCCCGGGGCGACCCGGGGGGCACACUAGGGGGACUGCCGCCGCUAAGGCGGAGGAAGGAGGGGGCAACGGCAGGUCAGCAUGCCCCUAAACCCCCGGGCUGCACGCGGGCUACAAUGGCGGGGACAGCGGGUGCCGACCCCGAAAGGGGGAGGCAAUCCCUCAAACCCCGCCUCAGUUGGGAUCGAGGGCUGCAACUCGCCCUCGUGAACGUGGAAUCCCUAGUAACCGCGCGUCAUCAUCGCGCGGUGAAUACGUCCCUGCUCCUUGCACACACUGCCCGUCGCUCCACCCGAGGGGGGAGGGGGUGAGGCCCUCUCCGCCGGGAGGGGGUCGAACCCCCUCCCCCCGAGGGGGGAGAAGUCGUAACAAGGUAGCCGUAGGGGAACCUGCGGCUGGAUCACCUCCC
rfam:Aeropyrum pernix K1 DNA, complete genome.